rnacentral:misc_RNA from 1 species
GAUGAAGAACGUAGCGAAAUGCGAUACGUAAUGUGAAUUGCAGAAUUCAGUGAAUCAUCGAAUCUUUGAACGCAUAUUGCGCUCUCUGGUAUUCCGGAGAGCAUGCUUGUUUGAGUAUCAGUAAACACCUCAACUUCCAUAUCUUUUUUGAAAUGGGAGUUGGACUUGAGUGAUCCCAACGCUUUUCCUCACCGAAAAGUGGCGGGUUACUUGAAAUGCAGGUGCAGCUGGACUUUUCUCUGAGCUAUAAGCAUAUCUAUUUAGUCUGCCUAAAAAACAGAUUAUUACCUUUGCUGCAGCUAACAUAAAGGAGAUUAGUUCUUGUGCUGACUGAUGCAGGAUUCACAGAGACAGCUUUGCGGCUGACUUUGUAAACUCGAUCUCAAAUCAAGUAAGACUACCCGCUGAACUUAAGCAUAUCAAUAAGCGGAGGA